GACGAACGCUGGCGGCGUGCUUAACACAUGCAAGUCGAACGGAAAGGCCCUGCUUUUGUGGGGUGCUCGAGUGGCGAACGGGUGAGUAACACGUGAGUAACCUGCCCUUGACUUUGGGAUAACUUCAGGAAACUGGGGCUAAUACCGGAUAGGAGCUCCUGCUGCAUGGUGGGGGUUGGAAAGUUUCGGCGGUUGGGGAUGGACUCGCGGCUUAUCGGCUUGUUGGUGGGGUAGUGGCUUACCAAGGCUUUGACGGGUAGCCGGCCUGGGAGGGUGACCGGCCACAUGGGGACUGGGAAACGGCCCGGACCCCUACGGGGGGCAGCGGGGGGGAAUACGGCACAAUGGGCGGAGGCCGAAUGCAGCAACGCCGGGGGCGGGAUGACGGCCUUCGGGUGGUAAACCGCUUUCGCCUGUGACGAGGCGGGAGUGACGGUAAUGGGUAAAGAAGCACCGGCUAACUACGU
rnacentral:rRNA from 1 species